UUUUGUGGUUGGAUAGUUGGGGAAGCAGAACUAUGGAUGGAAUUAUGGAAACCUCCAAUGAAAGAAGAUGUAUGCAUAGUGGAAUUUAUUCAUGGAAUACCAUCAUCAAAAUUAUACUCUUCUGAUUGCCUGUGUUCAGUUUUACAUACCUGACUCUGGGAGAUAGCUUAGUGUAAGAAAAAAAAACUGAACUGAACAACCAACCAAAUCAACAAAGACCUUGCAAAUUCUACUGAGAAUCCAUCCUCUCAUAGGCACGUGAUUCUAUGAUACAAGAAUACCUUCCUUCCUCCUCCUAGCAGCCUGAAUAACUCAAUGGAAUACAUCUUGAGAUAGUCCUGAGGUCUCUUCAGAGAACAAGCAAAGUGAUGAAGUAUAUUGUUAUAUUGCCUAACUGAUUUGCUUAUGCUGGAUAUAAACUGUUUCAGGAGAAUUUUCCAGAUAUUGUAUAAGAGCAGAUUGGGCUACAGAGCUUGGUAUGAAGAAGGACCAAGCCUUAGCUUGAAAUUCCUUACAGAGUCUACAAAGGACUAAAACAUUAGAGUUGGCUUGGACUUGUGUUUUGUUGGUUUGGUUGGCUUUUUUUGAGGAGUUGCAACUUCUGAUAUCUUGGACGGUAUAUCACCAGAGGUGACAUGCUGUAUAUGACAACAGAGGAAAGGGAACCAGAAUCUCAAUGUCUGGUCCUGUGAGAGAUUGAAAUCUCCUGUCUGAAUAUAAGUGGAAUGAUAAGGAGAAAGUGGUUGCUCUUGGAAUCCAAAUGUGUGUGCUUCAAGUGAUAAAAACCUCAAGAACUACUGCUUAAAUCAAUCUUUGCCAUUUGUUAUCAUCUAAAUCCUAGGAGUCCUGUUUGCAGAAAGCUAGGCUUUC